rnacentral:rRNA from 1 species
GGCGGUUCGCUGCCGGCGACGUCGCGAGAAUUCCACUGAACCUUAUCAUUUAGAGGAAGGAGAAGUCGUAACAAGGUUUCCGUAGGUGAACCUGCGGAAGGAUCAUUGUCGAACCCUGCAAAGCAGAACGACCCGUGAACUUGUAACAACAACGCGUGUUGGGUGUAUCGAGCAUUUGUUCGAGCCACUUGAUGCUUUGUCAAAGUGCAUUCACUUGGGCCUCUUGGGCCCUUGUGGAUGUCGCGGAGACACAAUAACAAACCCCGGCACGGAAUGUGCCAAGGAAAACAAAACUUAAGAAGGGCUGUUCGCAUGUUGCCCCGUUCGCGGUGUGCACAUGUGAAUCUGCUUUUUUUGUAAUUACAAACGACUCUCGGCAACGGAUAUCUCGGCUCACGCAUCGAUGAAGAACGUAGCAAAAUGCGAUACUUGGUGUGAAUUGCAGAAUCCCGUGAACCAUCGAGUUUUUGAACGCAAGUUGCGCCCGAAACCUUUUGGUCGAGGGCACGUCUGCCUGGGCGUCACGCAUCGUGUCGCCCCCGCAUCACAAUCACCGUUAAGGUGUGUGAUUCGGGAGCGGAGAUUGGACUCCCGUGCUUAGCUGCGGUUGUCCAAAAUAGGAGUCCCCUUCGAUGGACGCACGAUAAGUGGUGGUCGUCAAAACCCUCGUCUUGUGUCGUGUGUUAUAAGUCGCAAGGGAAGAACUCUAUACGAACCCCAAUGUGUUGUCUUUAGACGAUGCUUCGACCGCGACCCCAGGUCAGGCGGGACUACCCGCUGAGUUUAAGCAUAUCAAUAAG